AACGAACGCUGGCGGCAUGCCUAACACAUGCAAGUCGAACGAGACCUUCGGGUCUAGUGGCGCACGGGUGCGUAACGCGUGGGAACCUGCCCUUGGUUCGGAAUAACUCCCCGAAAGGGGUGCUAAUACCGGAUAAUGUCUUCGGACCAAAGAUUUAUCGCCUUUGGAUGGGCCCGCGUUGGAUUAGCUAGUUGGUAGGGUAAAAGCCUACCAAUGCGACGAUCCAUAGCUGGUCUGAGAGGAUGAUCAGCCACACUGGGACUGAGACACGGCCCAGACUCCUACGGGAGGCAGCAGUGGGGAAUAUUGGACAAUGGGCGAAAGCCUGAUCCAGCAAUGCCGCGUGAGUGAUGAAGGCCUUAGGGUUGUAAAGCUCUUUUACCCGGGAUGAUAAUGACAGUACCGGGAGAAUAAGCUCCGGCUAACUCCGUG
rnacentral:rRNA from 1 species